rnacentral:rRNA from 1 species
GACGAACGCUGGCUGCGUGCUUAACACAUGCAAGUCGAACGCUGAAGCCCGAAGCUUGCUUCGGGUGGAUGAGUGGCGAACGGGUGAGUAACACGUGAGUAACCUGCCCCUGAUUUCGGGAUAAGCCUGGGAAACUGGGUCUAAUACCGGAUACGACCACCUGACGCAUGUCGGGUGGUGGAAAGUUUUUCGAUCGGGGAUGGGCUCGCGGCCUAUCAGCUUGUUGGUGGGGUAAUGGCCUACCAAGGCGACGACGGGUAGCCGGCCUGAGAGGGCGACCGGCCACACUGGGACUGAGACACGGCCCAGACUCCUACGGGAGGCAGCAGUGGGGAAUAUUGCACAAUGGGGGAAACCCUGAUGCAGCGACGCAGCGUGCGGGAUGACGGCCUUCGGGUUGUAAACCGCUUUCAGCAGGGAAGAAGCGAAAGUGACGGUACCUGCAGAAGAAGUACCGGCUAACUACGUGCCAGCCGCCGCUGUAA